ensembl:lncRNA
CCCUGAAGCGCGGAGCAGAGGGGCAGCAUCCUGCCCCUGCCUGCCUCCUCCCACACCUCCGGUGGUCUCCUGGCCUGCAGGCAGCCUGGCAGGUGAAGAGUGCCCGGCAUAGCCUGAGUCUGUCUCAGAGACAGGCUUCAGGGUGCUCGUUUUGUCCCAAAUUUUGGAAAACGCAGCUGGAAGAUGUGAUUGUCCUAUAUGAUGCCAUCUACAAGAUGGGAUUUAUGUUUCAAUGGUCAGACCUGGAAUAUACGGGAAUCAUGAUCGUUAUAGGAGGCUAGGAGCUGCCUCCCACUUCUCUGCUGAUAAAAUAUAUUCUGUUCAAUCUUGGAAAUAUAGAAAUGGUGCUAUUGAGAGGAGAAAAGAAAAGAAUUGGAAUUCCACCUGGGGUGAUAAAAGCAAUCUCAGGUUACCUAUAGAUGACGACCGUGGCCCAGCUGAGAUAUACUGA